ACGGGUGAGUAAUACAUCGGAACGUAUCCUGGAGUGGGGGAUAGCCCGGCGAAAGCCGGAUUAAUACCGCAUACGCUCUGAGGAGGAAAGCGGGGGACCUUCGGGCCUCGCGCUCAAGGGGCGGCCGAUGGCGGAUUAGGUAGUUGGUGGGGUAAAGGCCUACCAAGCCGACGAUCCGUAGCUGGUCUGAGAGGACGACCAGCCACACUGGGACUGAGACACGGCCCAGACUCCUACGGGAGGCAGCAGUGGGGAAUUUUGGACAAUGGGGGCAACCCUGAUCCAGCAAUGCCGCGUGUGUGAAGAAGGCCUUCGGGUUGUAAAGCACUUUUGUCCGGAAAGAAAUCAUCGGGGCCAAUACCCCUGGUGGAUGACGGUACCGGAAGAAUAAGCACCGGCUAACUACGUGCCAGCAGCCGCGGUAAUACGUAGGGUGCGAGCGUUAAUCGGAAUUACUGGGCGUAAAGCGUGCGCAGGCGGUGCUGUAAGACCGAUGUGAAAUCCCCGGGCUUAACCUGGGAACUGCAUUGGUGACUGCAGCGCUGGAGUAUGGCAGAGGGGGGUGGAAAUUUCUACGU
rnacentral:rRNA from 1 species